rnacentral:rRNA from 1 species
GUCCUAGCCUUAAACGAUGAAUGCUUGGUGUCUGGGGUUUUAUAGUCCCCGGGUGCCGUCGCUAACGCUUUAAGCAUUCCGCCUGGGGAGUACGGUCGCAAGACUGAAACUCAAAGGAAUUGACGGGGACCCGCACAAGCGGUGGAGCAUGUGGUUUAAUUCGACGAAACGCGAAGAACCUUACCUGGGCUAGAAUGCCUUCGAUAGCCGUAGAGAUACGGUUUCUUGGGUAAAACCAAGCGGAGUGCAAGGUGCUGCAUGGCUGUCGU